rnacentral:lncRNA from 1 species
ACAAUAUCAGCCUCUUUCUUGGUUGUAGGAAGGGCCAGAUGCAACAACUUAUCCUUCACCUUAGAUGGACUAUCUCGGCAGGUCCCACACCAUUGGAUCCCUAGAAAUUUUGAGGUAGAAGACCCCUGAAUUUUAGUCAGAUUUAUUUACCAUCCUCUGACAUGCAAAUGUCUUACCAAUAAGUCCAGAAUGCUUGCUCCUUCUUACUCACUGCAUCUAAUCAGCAUAAUGUCAUCAAUGUAAUGGACAAGUGUGAUAGCUUGUGGAAGGGAAACGCUAUCAAGAUUUCUGAAAACAAGAUAUUGACACAAAGUUGGAGAGCUGGGAUACCCCUGAGGUAGGACAGAGACGGUGUACUGCUGGCCUUGCCAGAUGAAGGCAAGUUGCUGCUCGUGGGGCUUAUGGACUGAGAUGGAGAAAAAGGCAUUUGCCAGAUCAACAGCUGCAUACCAGUCUCCAUCUUGUACAGAAGUUUCAUGAGCAAAAGUAACAUAGCAGCAUAACCGCUCAGGCUGCUUUCAUUGUAGGAAAAGAUGAACACUGGCAUUCCCAAGAUAUGUAUUCUAGGAGCCUCAGUAGCAAGGAACAGUAUCUUUCUCCCAG